UUUCCGUAGGUGAACCUGCGGAAGGAUCAUUAAUGAGUUGUCAUGGGGUUCGAUGCUGGCAGCCAAUUUUUGGAUGCAUGUGCUUGCCCUAACAAUCAUCUUCCAAACACCUGUGCACAUUUUUGAGGUGGUCUUGAGUUGGUUGCCGCUCUUGGGUGAUUUUCUCACAUUCCCUUAAAUCAUUAUACGCUACUAACUAUGUUGAACGUGCUCUGUGCCGCAAGGCUAUUAAUAAAAUACAACUUUUAACAACGGAUCUCUUGGCUCUC
rnacentral:misc_RNA from 1 species